rnacentral:rRNA from 1 species
GACGAACGCUGGCGGCGUGCUUAACACAUGCAAGUCGAACGGAAAGGCCCUGCUUGCAGGGUACUCGAGUGGCGAACGGGUGAGUAACACGUGGGUGAUCUGCCCUGCACUUCGGGAUAAGCUUGGGAAACUGGGUCUAAUACCGGAUAGGAACCAUCUUUAGUGUGGUGGUUGGAAAGUUUUUUCGGUGUAGGAUGAGCUCGCGGCCUAUCAGCUUGUUGGUGGGGUAAUGGCCUACCAAGGCGGCGACGGGUAGCCGGCCUGAGAGGGUGCACGGCCACAUUGGGACUGAGAUACGGCCCAGACUCCUACGGGAGGCAGCAGUGGGGAAUAUUGCACAAUGGGCGCAAGCCUGAUGCAGCGACGCCGCGUGGGGGAUGAAGGCCUUCGGGUUGUAAACUCCUUUCGCUAGGGACGAAGCUUUGUUGUGACGGUACCUAGAGAAGAAGCACCGGCUAACUACGUG